GUGAGUCCCAAAGUAGACGGAGACAAUGCCUGUGGAGUCAGUCCCAAAAUAGACUGCGUUAUUGACUCUGCAGUGAGUCCAGCAGCAGACAGGGACAAAAGUAGAUGUUGUCACUGAUUAAGAGCUGAAUAAAGAUCACAUGUUCUGGAAAUACAAAUUCAGUGACAGACUGGGUAAAGGAGGAUUUGGCUUAGUGUGUAAGGGAACUCAAUCAAGAAGAAUUCAGCUUACAAGUCUUCUGUGACACAAGACCAUACAUGCCUCCAGAAUAUCAUGACAAUGGUGUUUUCACUGGGAGUGCUCCUGUUUGAUGUGACUUAUACCGCUUAUGCAACAAUCAGUCUGUAUUUGCUGUGUCACAAGGUGAAAUGUCUGGCAAAGACCAAAUGAUAAAAGAUAGCAUGUGUGAAGUUUAAGGUAAUGAACAAAUUUCUCCUUUUUUUUUUUUGGCGAAGAAUGCAUCAUUUUUAGCUUGUCUGCAGCAUCAUCCUGUAACGCCAAGCCAGCAGAGGGAGCCCUCACCCUAGGACUGCCUGCAUGCUCCCUCUGCUGCUUCUACUGUUACUUCCUGUUUGACACUAUUUAAAGACUGACCAUGUGCUCUAUACUUUGCGAAGUAUUGCCAGUUUCACCUGCCUUACCGAGCGUUUCUAUAUUUACUCUGUUGGAUUACCUGUUGCUACCUUGCUUUGUUUAUGGACUCUUGAGUUUACGGAUUACCCCUAUUGGAUUG